ensembl:ncRNA K04G2.14 ncRNA
CUGUGCUCACCACAGCUACCACCACCACCCACUAACUGCGGGUUCUCUUUUGAUGAUGAAGUGGGUCCUCCCCGUGCUCUCCCUUUUCUCUUCACUCUGGGGCUCAUCUUUGCCCCUAUGGCUCUCGAGAGCCAUCUCACCACAACAUCUAUCUUGUACCCAUGUUUUUGAGACUGGGUGAGACGAAACAAGA